rnacentral:lncRNA from 1 species
AUAACUAGAGCGAUAUUGUUAUACAAUCCCGUAACAAUGUACGGGCAUUUAACUAGUAUCCAUAACGGGGAAUCCUAGGUUAUUUCCCUAAUUAUUUUUCGAAGGAAUUUCCCUACUAUUCGAAUCGGCCACGCAUCCAUCCAUCCACCUGGGCUGCUGCCUAUAUCACUGGAAUUCCUUGGCAAGAGACAAAUACAAAAUAAAAAACAAAUCCGACCUGCCGGAUUCGAACCAGCGACCUAAGGAUAACUAGAGCGAUAUUGUUAUACAAUCCCGUAACAAUGUACGGGCAUUUAACUAGUAUCCAUAACGGGGAAUCCCAGGUUAUUUCCCUAAUUAUUUUUGAAGGAAUUUCCCUACUAUUCGAAUCGGCCACGCAUCCAUCUGGGCUGCUGCCUAUAUCACUGGAAUUCCUUGGCAAGAGACAAAUACAAAAUAAAAACAAAUCCGACCUGCCGGAUUCGAACCAGCGACCUAAGGAUUUAUCUGCAAC